rnacentral:tRNA from 1 species
GGGGAGGUAAUUUAACUGGAAAAAUAUCGCCCUUGCGGGGCGAAAACGGAGGUUCGAACCCUUCCACCCCCA